rnacentral:misc_RNA from 1 species
UCCGAGUUGACCCCGGCAGUCUCCUAUGAGUCCCCACCAUAACGUGCUGGCAACAUAGGACGAGGGUUGCGCUCGUUGCGGGACUUAACCCAACAUCUCACGACACGAGCUGACGACAGCCAUGCAGCACCUAACUACAGGUUCUCCGAAGAGCACCCCGAUCUUUCGACCAGGUCCCUGCAUUUUCUAGCCCGGGUAAGGUUCUGCGCGUUGCGUCGAAUUAAACCACAUGCUCCGCUGCUUGUGCGGGUCCCCGUCAAUUCCUUUGAGUUUUAGCCUUGCGGCCGUACUCCCCAGGCGGGGCACUUACAGCGUUAGCGACGGCACCGGGAGGGUCGCUCCCCCCGACGCCUAGUGCCCAUCGUUUACGGCGUGGACUAC